rnacentral:rRNA from 1 species
UCUUUUUGUGGUGGACUUGGAGGUUUGGUGUAGAUGCCGCAGGCUAAGCGAAAUGAAGGGGGUGAAUCGAACAGAUGAAUACGGCCUCCGUGUUGCUUGAAUAGUAGAAAUACUGAUGGUGUCAUGGGUUUGUUGUUUACAACAAAUCUAGUAUGACGAAAGAAAAACUAUAAGCAGUGAAGCGACACAUCCCAGUAACUGUAUAGAAAAAUCAAAAGAGAUUUUCGUAGUAGCGGUGAGCGGGGCGGAAAUAAAAAACCCACACUUGAUGGGUUGGUAGCGCGUAGAAGUUCGGUCGCCGGUGACGGUUUUAGAUCCGAGUGUAUAAUACAUAGAGGGUGCAAGUCCCGUAUACGUCUACUUUAUGGGCAGAAGUACGACUGUUUUGCUUAAAUAGUCGGAAGAUUGGGGGACCACCCUCAAGCCUGAAUAGCUAAACCUACCGAUAGUGAACAAGUACCGUAAGGGAAUGUUGAAACAGGAUUAAUUGAGGGUUAACGUGAAAUAACUACAAACAAAAAGAUAAAUAAGCAGUUAUCGUGGAAUACAGCUAGACUGUUGAAGCGACAUCGUACCUUGUGUAUAAUGGACCAACAAGUUAAAAUUACUAGCAAGCGUAACUUAAUAGAGGAACGCGUAGCGCAAGCAAAUCGUAAGACGUUUGUUAAGUUAGUAGUUUUAAACCCGAAGCCGGGUGAUCUAACCAAAAGCAGGCCAUUGAGGGCCGUACCAAUAUAUGUUGCAAAAUAUCUGGAUGACUUUUGGUUAGGGGUGAAAGGCUAAUCAAACUUGGGUAUCUCUGGUUCUCCGCGAAAUCUAUGUACGUAAAGUAUCAGGCUGACAAAAAUCAGGGGUAGAGUUCUUUUUACUUGAGGGGGGUUUAAGUACUUUACUGAGUUUAGAAAAACUUUGAAUACUGGUUUGUUUUGAAGCUGAUAGUCAGACAUUCAGCGAUAAGGUUGUGUGUCAAGAGGGAAACAGCCCAGAUUGUAUGUUAAGGCCCUUAAAUAGUAGGUAAGUGAUUAAAGGCAUGAAGUUUCAUAGACGUCUAAAAUGUAGGCUUAGAAGCAGCCAUCAUAUAUUGAAAGCGUAAAAAAUCAUUGGAUAAAGAUUGUGGAGUGCCCAUAAUGUGCGGGGCUUAACCUACUUGCCGAAACACCAAAUUUCUUAAUUGAAAUGGUAGCGGAGUUUUCUGUAAAGCGAAUUAAUCGAAUAAAAGAAAUAAACCGAAAGGUAGACUCAGAAAUAAGAAUGUUGGUAUGAGUAACGUUAAACUUUUUGUCGCCUAGAACCUAAGGUUUCCGACGUUCAGGUAUUCUGCGGACGGGUUAUGCGGUAGUUUAGGUCUACUCUAUGAAAAUAGGGGCUGAUAUUGUCCUUAACAAUAAGGAAUGCAUUUUGCUGGGUCGUAUGACUAUAACUAUAAAGCUUAACGAGAGUGGCUUAUUGGGUAAGAUCAUACCUAGAAAUCCUCAAAAUGUGAAUAUGUACCGUACUGAAAACCGACACUGGUAGGUAAGUGGAGAACACUGUGGCGCUAUGGAAGAAGUAUAUUGAAGGAACUAGGCAAAAUGACCCCGUAACUUCGGGAUAAGGGGGUAACUGCUUGCCUCUGUAAAGAGGGUAGUAGUUGAACGUGAAAAUGGAGGGGGGCGACUGUUUACUAAAAACACAGGACUCUGCUAACUUGUAAGAGGAUGUAUUGGGUCCGAGGCCUGCCCGGUGCCAGCAAGCUAACAGGAGGUGUUAACGCACUGAAUUUAACCCCUGGCAAACGGCGGCUGUAACUAUAACGGUCCUAAGGUAGCGAAAUUCCUUGUCGGGUAAGUUCCGACGCGCAUGAAUGGCGUAACGAUCUGACUGCUGUCUCGACCAGAGAUUCGGUGAAAUAGCAGUGCCCGUGAAGAUGCGGGCUACCUGCGGCAGGACGGAAAGACCCCGUAGAGCUUUACUGUACCCUGACAUUGGAAUUUGAUUUGAUCUGUGCAGGAUAGGUGGGAGGCUUUGAAGCCGGAGCGCUAGCUUCGGUGGAGCCAACGUUGAGAUACCACUCUCUUCACAUUAGAUUUCUAACUGACAGCCUUGAAUCAGGCGUCAGGACAAUGCCAGGCGGGCAGUUUGACUGGGGCGGUCGCCUCCUAAAAGGUAACGGAGGCGCCCAAAGGUCUGCUCAGCGUGUUUGGAAACCACGCAAAGAGUGCAAAGGCAUAAGCAGGCUUAACUGCAUAGGUCGACGGACCAAGCAGAUGGGAAACCAGGGCUUAGUGACCCGACGGUUGCGAAUGGAAGCGCCGGAGCUCAACGGAUAAAAGUUACCUCGGGGAUAACAGGCUUAUUGCUCCCAAGCGUUCACAGCGACGGGGCAGUUUGGCACCUCGAUGUCGGCUCGUCUCAUCCUGGGGCUGUAUAAGGUCCCAAGGGUUGGGCUGUUCGCCCAUUAAAGAGGCACGUGAGCUGGGUUCAGAACGUCGUGAGACAGUUCGGUCCUUAUCCGCCGCAGGCGUUGGAGAAUUGAUGGAUGCUGCCCUUAGUACGAGAGGACCAGGGCAGAGGAACCUCUGAUGUACCAGUUAUCACACCAGUGGUAGGCGCUGGGUAGUUAUGUUCCGUUGGAUAAACACUGAAGGCAUCUAAGUGUGAAGCCAUUCCAAAGAUGAGUUCUCCCGCCUCUUGAAGGCAUAAGACCUCCGGAAGACUACCGGGUUGAUAGGCACAAGCUGUAAGCGCAGCAAUGCGUUGAGGUGAUGUGUACUAAUAGGUCGAAGGCUUAGCU